GACGAACGCUGGCGGCGUGCUUAACACAUGCAAGUCGAACGGAAAGGCCCUGCUUUUGUGGGGUGCUCGAGUGGCGAACGGGUGAGUAACACGUGAGUAACCUGCCCUUGACUUUGGGAUAACUUCAGGAAACUGGGGCUAAUACCGGAUAGGAGCUCCUGCUGCAUGGUGGGGGUUGGAAAGUUUCGGCGGUUGGGGAUGGACUCGCGGCUUAUCAGCUUGUUGGUGGGGUAGUGGCUUACCAAGGCUUUGACGGGUAGCCGGCCUGAGAGGGUGACCGGCCACAUGGGGACUGAGAGACGGCCCAGACUCCUACGGGAGGCAGCAGUGGGGAAUAUUGCACAAUGGGCGGAAGCCUGAUGCAGCGACGCCGCGUGCGGGAUGACGGCCUGCGGGGUGUAAACAGCUGUCGGCUGUGACGAAGCGGGAGUGACGGUAAUGGGUAAAGAAGCACCGGCUAACUACGUG
rnacentral:rRNA from 1 species